rnacentral:rRNA from 1 species
GUAGUCUCGCACAGAUGCAUAUCAAUAAGCGGAGGAAAAGAAACUAACAAGGAUUCCCCUAGUAACGGCGAGUGAAGCGGGAAGAGCUCAAAUUUGAAAUCUUAAAGGGUUUCCCUUUACGAAUUGUAGUUUAAAGAAGUGUUUUCCUGUUGAGGUUUUGGUAAAAGUUCUUUGGAAUAGGACAUCAUAGAGGGUGAGAAUCCCGUAUUUGACCUUUACUUUCAACUUUGUGAUACACUUUCAAAGAGUCGGAUUGUUUGGGAAUGCAGUCCAAAAUGGGUGGUAAAUUUCAUCUAAAGCUAAAUAUUGGCGAGAGACCGAUAGCGAACAAGUACCGUGAGGGAAAGAUGAAAAGAACUUUGAAAAGAGAGUUAAACAGUACGUGAAAUUGUCAAAAGGGAAGCGUUUGACACCAGUGUUGUUUUUCUGAAAAUCAAUUAAAGAACUGUUUAUGCUAAGUUGUUUAGACUUUAUCAGCUAAUCUGUUUAGUUUUGAGCUUUUCUUUAAUGCACUUUUCAGUUAACAAGUCAACAUCAAUUUCUUUUGCUGUAAAAAGAGCUUGAGGAAGGUGGCUUGAGAUUCGUCUUAAGUGUUUAUAGCCUCUUGCCUAUGCAGUCGGAGAGAUUGAGGUCUGCAGCGUAGAUCCUUCGGGGCUAAAUGCAUUUGUGCUAAGUUAUAGCAUUUUAUAGACAACUUGUUGACUAUGAUUUGUCUUGUAGCUUACUCGCUUAUGUUAUUUUACCUACGCUUAGGAUGUGACGCGCGUGUGUGCGUG